rnacentral:rRNA from 1 species
GACCAGACUCCUACGGGAGGCAGCAGUGGGGAAUAUUGCACAAUGGGCGAAAGCCUGAUGCAGCAACGCCGCGUGAAGGAAGAAGGCCUUCGGGUCGUAAACUUCUGUCCUUGGGGAAGAAGAACUGACGGUACCCAAGGAGGAAGCCCCGGCUAACUACGUGCCAGCAGCCGCGGUAAUACGUAGGGAGCAAGCGUUGUCCGGAAUUACUGGGCGUAAAGGGCGCGUAGGUGGGUGCUUAAGUCAGGUGUGAAAACUCUGGGCUCAACCUGGAGACUGCACUUGAAACUGGGUAUCUUGAGGGCAGGAGAGGAAAGUGGAAUUCCUAGUGUAGCGGUGAAAUGCGUAGAUAUUAGGAGGAACACCAGUGGCGAAGGCGACUUUCUGGACUGUACCUGACGCUGAGGCGCGAAAGCGUGGGUAGCGAACGGGAUUAGAUACCCGAGUAC